rnacentral:lncRNA from 1 species
CUCGGAUCAGAAUGCUGUUUCCCCAUGCUCUUCCAAGGCUCAUUGAGCACUGACCCCAGCUCUGCUCAUGCCCCACACAGGUCACCCUCUGGGUAGCCCACUGUGUGGAUUCCAUGAAGCAUGCCCUUCUCCCACACAGUCAUCAGCAGUAUCAAUGACCUCCCUCUUCCCAGCUCCAUCAAAGCCAGCCCUGGAAUUAUUAAAGAAAGUCUGACUCCAAGGCAGCCUUUUCUUUCCUCUGCUGAGUGAUUUUCAUUCCUUACAAGACUCCAGCAAUGACAGACAUCAGUUAAAGUGAUUCUGAGUCUGGGAAGAGAAGAGAGCAUGGGGAGAGCUGAGAAGCGCCAGCUCUGGAGAGGUCAGUUUU